AUUGAGUGAUUGACACCUCAGUAGUGCUGUAGACUCCUGUUAGUGUCAUGAGAAAGCCAACCUUGGAGAGUUGUAUAUGGU